rnacentral:tRNA from 1 species
AGGGGUAUAGCCAAGUGGUAAGGCAACGGGUUUUGAUCCCGUCACGCCCUGGUUCGAGCCCAGGUACCCCUGCCA